rnacentral:rRNA from 1 species
UACGGGGGGGGCAAGCGUUGUUCGGAAUUACUGGGCGUAAAGGGCGCGUAGGCGGCCAGCGCAAGUCGGUUGUGAAAUCUCCGGGCUUAACUCGGAAAGGUCAACUGAUACUGCGCGGCUAGAGUGCAGAAGGGGCAACUGGAAUUCUCGGUGUAGCGGUGAAAUGCGUAGAUAUCGAGAGGAACACCUGCGGCGAAGGCGGGUUGCUGGGCUGACACUGACGCUGAGUGCGCGAAAGCCAGGGGAGCGAACGGG